UCUUUUCUAUGGAAGCUUGCUUCCACUGAGAAGAUAGUGGCGGACGGGUGAGUAACACGUGGGUAACCUGCCCAUAAGAGGGGGAUAACAUCCGGAAACGGGUGCUAAUACCGCAUAGUUUUCUUGAUCGCAUGAUCGAGAAAGGAAAGACGGCCUUUGUGCUGUCGCUUAUGGAUGGACCCGCGGCGUAUUAGUUAGUUGGUGAGGUAACGGCUCACCAAGACGAUGAUACGUAGCCGACCUGAGAGGGUGAUCGGCCACAUUGGGACUGAGACACGGCCCAAACUCCUACGGGAGGCAGCAGUAGGGAAUCUUCCGCAAUGGACGAAAGUCUGACGGAGCAACGCCGCGUGAGUGAAGAAGGUUUUCGGAUCGUAAAACUCUGUUGUCAGAGAAGAACAAGUCGGAGAGUAACUGCUCCGGCCUUGACGGUAUCUGACCAGAAAGCCACGGCUAACUACGUGCCAGCAGCCGCGGUAAUACGUAGGUGGCAAGCGUUGUCCGGAUUUAUUGGGCGUAAAGCGAGCGCAGGCGGUUCCUUAAGUCUGAUGUGAAAGCCCACGGCUCAACCGUGGAAGGUCAUUGGAAACUGGGGGACUUGAGUGCAGAAGAGGAGAGUGGAAUUCCAUGUGUAGCGGUGAAAUGCGUAGAUAUAU
rnacentral:rRNA from 1 species